UACAGAGGUGGCAAGCGUUGUUCGGAAUUACUGGGCGUAAAGGGCGCGUAGGCGGCCGCUUAAGUCAGACGUGAAAUCCCCAGGCUUAACCUGGGAACUGCGUCUGAUACUGGGCGGCUUGAGUUCGGGAGAGGGAUGUGGAAUUCCAGGUGUAGCGGUGAAAUGCGUAGAUAUCUGGAGGAACACCGGUGGCGAAGGCGGCAUCCUGGACCGAAACUGACGCUGAGGCGCGAAAGCCAGGGGAGCAAACGGG
rnacentral:misc_RNA from 1 species